GACGAAAGUCUGACCGAGCAACGCCGCGUGAGUGAAGAAGGUUUUCGGAUCGUAAAGCUCUGUUGUAAGUCAAGAACGUGUGUGAGAGUGGAAAGUUCACACAGUGACGGUAGCUUACCAGAAAGGGACGGCUAACUACGUGCCAGCAGCCGCGGUAAUACGUAGGUCCCGAGCGUUGUCCGGAUUUAUUGGGCGUAAAGGGAGCGCAGGCGGUCAGGAAAGUCUGGAGUAAAAGGCUAUGGCUCAACCAUAGUGUGCUCUGGAAACUGUCUGACUUGAGUGCAGAAGGGGAGAGUGGAAUUCCAUGUGUAGCGGUGAAAUGCGUAGAUAUAUGGAGGAACACCAGUGGCGAAAGCGGCUCUCUGGUCUGUCACUGACGCUGAGGCUCGAAAGCGUGGGUAGCGAACAGGAUUAGAUACCCUGGUAGUCCACGCCGUAAACGAUGAGUGCUAGGUGUUAGGCCCUUUCCGGGGCUUAGUGCCGGAGCUAACGCAAUAAGCACUCCGCCUGGGGAGUACGACCGCAAGGUUGAAACUCAAAGGAAUUGACGGGGGCCCGCACAAGCGGUGGA
rnacentral:rRNA from 1 species